GACAGAGGGUGCAAACGUUGUUCGGAAUUACUGGGCGUAAAGCGUGUGUAGGCGGCUCUGCAAGUCGGAUGUGAAAGCCCCGGGCUCAACCCGGGAAGUGCACUCGAUACUGCAGAGCUAGAGUGUGGGAGAGGUUGGUGGAAUUCUCGGUGUAGAGGUGAAAUUCGUAGAUAUCGAGAGGAACACCGGCGGCGAAGGCGGCCAACUGGACCACUACUGACGCUGAGACACGAAAGCGUGGGGAGCAAACAGG
rnacentral:rRNA from 1 species